rnacentral:ncRNA from 1 species
CACGCCCUCAKSCUGCAGGUGUCGGAGCUGGGAUCAGGCUCAGUAUCCCUAGCCCACAACACCUAACAUCGUCACACCCACWAGGGUAUUCAGCAGUGAUCAACAUUGACAGUAAGCGACAGCUUGACCCAKUUAAAGUAGAUAAAGUUGGCUAAUCCGGUGCCAGCCGCCGCGGCUACACCGUUAAACUUAAAUUGAUAAUCAACGGCGUUAAACGUGUUUUAAGUACUUUAAAAUUUGAAUUAAACUAAGGCUACAUAGUAAUAAGUGUGCCCCACAGAAACACAGGAACGUAAGUCAUUCUAAUAAAACACUUGAAUCCACGACAAUUAAGAAACAAACUGGGAUUAGAUACCCCACUAUGCUUAAUCGUAAAAUAUAUAAUCACGCCCCAAACCGCCAGGAUAGUACGAGCAAAAAGCUUAAAAUUCAAAGGACUUGACGGUGUCCCAUCCAACUAGAGGAGCCUGUUCCAUAAUCGAUAACCCCCGAUGAACCUAACCACUUUUAGCCAAUCAGUCUGUAUACCUCCGUCGCAAGCUUACCGUAUGAAUGUUGUUAAGUAGGCAAAAAGAUUACUUCACCCACACGUCAGGUCAAGGUGCAGCCCACGAAGUGGUGAGAGAUGGGCUACAGUUUCUAAGUUAGAACAUACGAAAACUUUAUAUGAAAAACUAACCAAGAAGGCGGAUUUAGAAGUAAAGGGUAAGUAGAGUGUACCCUUUAAUUUGGCCCCGGGACGUGUACACACCGCCCGUCAUCCUCUUCGGCCAAAAAUAACUUAGUUAAUAACACACUAUAUAUAGCAAAGAAGAGGCAAGUCGUAACAUGGUAAGCAUACUGGAAAGUGUGCUUGGAUUAACAAAAUAUAACUUAAAUAAAGUAUUUCGUUUACACCGAACCCAUAUCUGUUUAAACCAGAUUAUUUUGAGCCUCUAACUCCGCCCAAUAAAAAACAAAUAAUUCUCACCCCAACACCAAGAUAAAACAUUUUACUAAUUUAGUAAAGGCGAACGAAAAUUUUAUAGGAGCCAUAUAUAAAGUACCGCAAGGGAAAAGUGAAAUAAAAAUGAAAUAAACAAAAGCAAACAAAAGCAGAGAUUAACUCUCGUACCUUUUGCAUCAUGGUCUAGCCAGUCUCAAUAAGCAAAUUAUACUGUUUAGCUUAUACCCCCGAAACUAGACGAGCUACUUAAGAACAGCCUUACAGGGGCCAACCCGUCUCUGUUGCAAAAGAGUGGGAAGAUUUUUAAGUAGAGGUGACAUGCCUAUCGAGUCUAGAGAUAGCUGGUUGCUCAAGAAAAGAAUCUUAGUUCUGCCNCAAAUUUUAACAUAACCACCAAUAUGUAUUUGAGAGUUAUUCAAAUAUGGUACAGCCUGUUUGAUACUGAAUACAAUCAAAAAGUCCGGGUAAUACAACUUACUAUUUAAUUAAGUAGGCCUAAAAGCAGCCACCUUAAAUAGCGUCAAAGCUUGAUUAAAAUAACUAUUAAUUUCUCCAACUAUAUAGAACCCUACUAUUAUAUUGAGCAUUUUUAUAUAAUAUAAAAGAUAUUAUGCUAGAACUAGUAACAAGAAUUUAUCUCCAAAAUGUAAGUAUAUUUCAAAUAUGAACUUUAUUGUAUCUAGAAGUAACCCUCUUAGAAAUCCCUACUAAGUCCCCACAUUAAACUUACACAAGAACACUUCUGGAAAGAUUAAAACAAAAAGAAGGAACUCGGCAAAUUUUAAUCUCGCCUGUUUACCAAAAACAUCACCUCUUGAUCAAAUAUAAGAGGCCCCGCCUGCCCAGUGAUUAUUUCAACGGCCACGGUACCCUAACCGCGCGAAGGUAGCACAAUCACUUGUUCUCUAAAUAAGGACCAGUAUGAACGGCAUCACGAAGAUUAUACUGUCUCCUUUCUGCAAUCAGUGAAACUGAUCUCCCCGUGAAAAAGCGAGGAUUAUACUAUAAGACGAGAAGACCCCGUGGAGCUUUAAGAAUAUACCAACUGUCACACCAAUACCAUAAGAGAUUGACAGCCCUGACUAUUAACUUUCGGUUGGGGUGACCACGGAGUAAAAUAAAACCUCCGCAAUGAACGAGCCCAGCUCUAAUUUUAGAACUACAUUUCCAAAAAUCAUAACAUUGACAUCUAUUGACCCAAACCCUUGAUCAAUGAACCAAGUUACCCCGGGGAUAACAGCGCAAUCCAUUUUUAGAGCCCCUAUCAACAAAUGGG